UGGGGAAUCUUGCAUAAUGGGCGCAAGCCUGAUGCAGCCAUGUCGCGUGUAUGAAGAAGGCCUUCGGGUUGUAAAGUACUUUCAGCGGGGAGGAAGGGAGUAAAGUUAAUACCUUUGCUCAUUGACGUUACCCGCAGAAGAAGCACCGGCUAACUCCGUGCCAGCAGCCGCGGUAAUACGGAGGGUGCAAGCGUUCAUCGGAAUUACUGGGCGUAAAGCGCACGCAGGCGGUUUGUUAAGUCAGAUGUGAAAUCCCCGGGCUCAACCUGGGAACUGCAUCUGAUACUGGCAAGCUUGAGUCUCGUAGAGGGGGGUAGAAUUCCAGGUGUAGCGGUGAAAUGCGUAGAGAUCUGGAGGAAUACCGGUGGCGAAGGCGGCCCCCUGGACGAAGACUGACGCUCAGGUGCGAAAGCGUGGGGAGCAAACAGG
rnacentral:rRNA from 1 species